rnacentral:antisense_RNA from 1 species
CUUGAUGGAGCUCAGCCACAGCGGUCGACCUUCGGGCCGCUCCUGACCGUAUGUCGCAAGCAGCGCCUGCGCCUC